rnacentral:rRNA from 1 species
GACGAACGCUGGCGGCGUGCUUAACACAUGCAAGUCGAACGGAAAGGCCCUGCUUUUGUGGGGUGCUCGAGUGGCGAACGGGUGAGUAACACGUGAGUAACCUGCCCUUGACUUUGGGAUAACUUCAGGAAACUGGGGCUAAUACCGGAUAGGAGCUCCUGCUGCAUGGUGGGGGUUGGAAAGUUUCGGCGGUUGGGGAUGGACUCGCGGCUUAUCAGCUUGUUGGUGGGGUAGUGGCUUACCAAGGCUUUGACGGGUAGCCGGCCUGGGAGGGUGACCGGCCACAUUGGGACUGAGAUGCGGCCCAGACUCCUACGGGAGGCAGCAGUGGGGAAGAUUGCACAAUGGGCGGAAGCCUGAUGCAGCAACGCCGCGUGCGGGAUGACGGCCUUCGGGUUGUAAGCCGCUUUCGCCUGUGACGAAGCGUGAGUGACGGUAAUGGGUAAAGAAGCACCGGCUAACUACGUG